GAUGAACGCUGGCGGCGUGCCUAAUACAUGCAAGUCGAGCGAACGGACGAGAAGCUUGCUUCUCUGAUGUUAGCGGCGGACGGGUGAGUAACACGUGGAUAACCCACCUAUAAGACUGGGAUAACUUCGGGAAACCGGAGCUAAUACCGGAUAAUAUUUUGAACCGCAUGGUUCAAAAGUGAAAGACGGUCCUGCUGUCACUUAUAGAUGGAUCCGCGCUGCAUUAGCUAGUUGGUAAGGUAACGGCUUACCAAGGCAACGAUGCAUAGCCGACCUGAGAGGGUGAGCAGCCACACUGGGACUGAGACACGGUCCAGACUCCUACGGGAGGCAGCCGUAGGGAAUCUUCCGCAAUGGGCGGAAGCCAGACGGAGCAACGCCGCGUGAGGGAUGAGGGUCUUCGGGUCGUAAAACUCUGUUAUUGGGGAGGAACAUAUGUGUAAGUAACUGUGCACGUCUUGACGGUACCUAAGCAGAGAAGCACGGCUAACUACGUG
rnacentral:rRNA from 1 species